UCUAGCAGGGUAAGUUUACUUUCAAUAUCUCACAUUACUCCAGUUUCACAGUUCCAUUCUAGCAGGGUAAGUUAAAAGUUUACUUUCAAUAUCUCACAUUACUCCAGUUUCACAGCUCCAUUAUAGCAGGGUAAGUUUACUUUCAAUAUCUCACAUUACUCCAGUUUCACAGUUCCAUUCUAGCAGGGUAAGUUUACUUUCAAUAUCUCACAUUACUCCAGUUUCACAGUUCCAUUCUAGCAGGGUAAGUUUACGUUCAAUAUCUCACAUUACUCCAGUUUCACAGCUCCAUUAUAGCAGGGUAAGUUUACUUUCAAUAUCUCACAUUACUCCAGUUUCACAGUUCCAUUCUAGCAGGGUAAGUUUACUUUCAAUAUCUCACAUUACUCCAGUUGUAGAUAAUAAGCUGUCCAAGUUGCCUGCUGUUUACCAUCAAGCUGCUGAGUUCAAUGCCAGUGUACAGAUGACGGGACUGUACUGUCCAUCUGUGGUGGAAAUCACGCAACAGAUGGUGGAGGCGGAAGAGGGAAAGAGGUCACAAUAGGUCAGGAGGACAGAUCAGGGCUACAUAAUGUAUCAGCCAAUGAUGUAGAUAUUGUAGCCAAUGAUGUAGAUAUUGUAGAUAUUGUAGAAGAUUCCCAGCCUGGACCGUCAACAAACAUGAACAUCGAGGAAUCGAUAAUGCCACUAAGACUUGAGAAAAACAAAGCACUCAAGUUGGCGAGAUGUAGGAAGCAGACGCUCCAGGUCAUCAAGAGCAUAUCAUCAGGCGUUUAUGAACUCCCUCUUGAAGAAUUAGAAGAGUGCAAAUCACGAAUGACUGAAUUCGCUGAAUGGAUGUUAACGAGAGCUCUAAAAAGGACAGCAGACGGAGUUAUUUUGCCUAUCUCAUUGGAGUUUUCCGACCCGACAAAUAUAACAACAAAAAAUAAGGGUCGACCUCCAAAAAAGCAGCGAAAGAAGCUAAAAAGCAUUUGAGCAGAAUUUCAAGACUCUCUAGUUGAUGAUGUUUAAUU